UACGUAGGUGGCAAGCGUUAUCCGGAAUUAUUGGGCGUAAAGAGCGCGCAGGUGGUUGAUUAAGUCUGAUGUGAAAGCCCACGGCUUAACCGUGGAGGGUCAUUGGAAACUGGUCGACUUGAGUGCAGAAGAGGGAAGUGGAAUUCCAUGUGUAGCGGUGAAAUGCGUAGAGAUAUGGAGGAACACCAGUGGCGAAGGCGGCUUCCUGGUCUGUAACUGACACUGAGGCCGAAAGCGUGGGGAGCAAACGGGAUUAGAUACCCCGGUA
rnacentral:rRNA from 1 species